rnacentral:rRNA from 1 species
GUAGGUGGCAAGCGUUGUCCGGAAUUAUUGGGCGUAAAGCGCGCGCAGGCGGUUCUUUAAGUCUGAUGUGAAAGCCCACGGCUCAACCGUGGAGGGUCAUUGGAAACUGGAGAACUUGAGUACAGAAGAGGAAAGCGGAAUUCCACGUGUAGCGGUGAAAUGCGUAGAGAUGUGGAGGAACACCAGUGGCGAAGGCGGCUUUCUGGUCUGUAACUGACGCUGAGGCGCGAAAGCGUGGGGGAGCAAACGGGAUUAGAUACCCUGGUAGUCCACGCCGUAAACGAUGAGUGCUAAGUGUUAGGGGGUUUCCGCCCCCCUUAGUGCUGCAGCUAACGCAUUAAGCACUCCGCCUGGGAGUACGGCCGCAAGGCUG